rnacentral:rRNA from 1 species
UACGUAGGGGGCGAGCGUUGUCCGAAGUUACUGGGCGUAAAGCGCGCGUAGGCGGGUUCUUAAGUGAGUGGUGAAAGGUUCGGGCUCAACCCGGACACUGCCUUUCAUACUGGGAGCCUUGAGUGCGGGAGAGGCGAGUGGAAUGGUCGGUGUAGCGGUGAAAUGCGUAGAUAUCGAUCGGAACACCCAUGGCGAAGGCAGCUCGCUGGCCUGCAACUGACGCUGAGGCGCGAAAGCGUGGGGAGCAAACAGG